CAUAGGCUUGGUCCUAACUUUACUGUCAACUGUAACUAAAUUUAUACAUGCAAGUAUCUGCGCCCCCGUGAGGAUGCCCUUUAAUCUCUUUUGACAUUAAGGAGCUGGUAUCAGGCACACAAUUGUAGCCCACUACGCCUUGCUAAGCCACACCCCCAAGGGUAUUCAGCAGUGAUUGAUUUUGAGAGAUAAGUGAAAACUUGACUCAGUUAAAGUUAUUUAAAGGGUUGGUUAAACUCGUGCCAGCCACCGCGGUUAUACGUGUAACCCAAGAUGACAGAAACCGGCGUAAAGAGUGGUUAGGGAAAACAAGAACUAAAGCUGAACACCUUUUUGACCGUAUAACGUAUUCAAAAUUAGAAAAUCCAUCACGAAAGUAGCUUUAACCCCCCCCCNNNUGAUUCCACGAAAGCUAUUAAACAAACUGGGAUUAGAUACCCCACUAUGCCUAGCAGUAAACUGAUGAGUAGUUACACCCAACAUCCGCCUGGGUAUUACAAGCACCAGCUUAAAAUCCAAAAGACCUGGCGGUGCUUUAAAACCCCCUAGAGGAGCCUGUUCUAUAAUCGAUAACCCCCGUUCAACCUCACCCUCUUUUGCCAUUACCGUUUGUAUACCGCCGUCGUCAGCUUACCCUGUGAAGGGUUUAUAGUGAGCACAAUUGAUUGAACCUUAUAUGUCAGGUCAAGGUGUAGCUUAUAAGAGGGAAAGUAAUGGGCUACAUUCGCUCACCAGCGUAUUACGAAUGCAACCUGAAAUCUCAUGACUAUGAAGGAGGAUUUAGUAGUAAGGGAGAAAUAGAGUAUCCCCCUGAAGCAGGCGCUAAAGCACGCACACACCGCCCGUCACUCUCCCCUUUUCUACACAACGUUAAAUAAACACCACUUAGAAAACUUAGGGGAGGCAAGUCGUAACAUGGUAAGUGUACCGGAAGGUGUACUUGGCUUACU
rnacentral:ncRNA from 1 species